UAUCAUAGUUUGGGAAUGCAGCACAUAUAGAUUUUAUAAUUUUUGGUUUCAGAUUGUUAAAAUGCCCAACCUUACUAUAUUGUUAUAUAAAACUUCAAUAGAAUUAACAAAGGGUUAUUUUAUAUUUGGUUGAAAUGACAGCUUAAACAUGGAGAUACCUAAAUAUAUAUAGCACAAGAAAAUAGUUAAUAAAAUAAUUAAGUAUUAUUCAGUUUACACCUUAUCAUGAAGGCUAAUCAUUUGUGAGUUGUAGUAAAGACCUUCUUAGUUAGCAGUGCCAAUAGCUGAAAGUAUUGGCCAGUCCUUGAUGCUCAGUGUAAAAAUAGUCAAUGUUUUGUCAAUUAUGUAAUGAAAAUGAGGGAGAUAUGAGCUUUGACAAUAAUAGUAUAACCAGAAAUUUAAUUUAUUAUUUUACUCCAUGUCAGUAUUAUUAUUGAUGUAUAGAUUUUUGACCACAUGCACAUGUGCAUACUGCUAGUGAAGUAAUAUUUGGACAGACAAUUGAAUUAUAAACACAGCAGUUAUGUUACUCUGAGAAUCUGGUGUAAUAUGAGUUGUAAACAUGGAUAUCAUCUAAAGUUUCCUCCAUUUCUAGACUCUAUGAUUAUGUGAUUCAAAAUUAUAAAUUUCAGUUAGGGUGAUAUACUUGUCUUUUUUAUUGUAUAACUAUACUUUAUCCUACAACAUUUUUAAAUUUGUUUUUAAAAGUAAAUGACCAUACCAAAAAACCCCAUACAACAUACUAAGCUGUGCGUUUAGAAGUCAGGAUAGUGGCCAUCGUUGGAGUGGUGGUGAUGGUGGUGGUGGUAGCUGGCAGGUAAGAGUGAGAGGGAACUUCUCAAUGCUGAAUUAAUGUUCUGUUUCUUGAUCUGUGCUGCAUGCUGGUUAGAACACUGUGUUUGGUUUGUGAAUAUUUGUCAAACUAUACACUUUUAUGUGUGUAUAUACUUGAAUAAAAAGGGUUAAAGUGACCUUCGAAUAAAGGAAUAUGGUUAAUUCCUUUAAAACCAAUCUAUAUCCCAAGAGACCUGCCUGCUUUUAAAAGUCCCUCCGAGAGUUUUUGUUUGGUUUUCUGUAAUAGUAAAAGUCAGAGGUCAGCAGACUAUGGCCUCUGGGCCAAAUCUGGUUCACCAUUUGCUUUUGUAAAGCCUGUUAGCUAAGAAUACUUUACAUAUGUUAAAAUGAUUGAAGCUUAAUCAAAAUAAGGAUACUAUUUCAUGACACAAAAUUACAUUCAAAUUUCAGUGUCGAAAAAUAAAGUUUUAUUGGAACACAGCCACAUUCAUUCAUUUCUUUUCUGCUCUUUUCUGUUGUCUGUCUUAUUGCAUGAUAGCAGUUUUUAAACUACAGUGACAGAGUUGAGCAGUUGUAACAGAGAUCACAUAGUGUACAAAGCCUAAAAUAUUUAUUAUCUGGUCUUUUAAGACAAUGUUUAUUGACUUGGCAAAAGGGUCACCCUUGGGGUCAAAGGUAGAUUGUUACUAUUACAAUUUAAAUGGUAUAUAAAACUAGCCUCCCAUUGGUAUCAACAAACUCAGAUAUUACCCACCCUGUCUGGGGCAGUUAUUUUUGGAGUCUACAUUCAUUGUUCAUGAGACCUUAUACAUGAGUGAUGAAAGCAAAACCAUCAAUUGCAUUGAAAACAUUUUCUUUGUGGUAUUGCUAUUUUCCCUCUUCCUUUUAUUCUGCCAAUUUUCAGCAUCAUUAUGGAACCAGUCUGUCUCUACCUUCAUGAAUUUCUUGCUGACUGAAUUCAUGCCCUUAGGCUGAUAAUAUUAUUAGGUUAAUAUUUUGCAGUCUUCAUGUGGGAUCACACCAGCCUUUGCCUUUAAGAAGUAUAGUGUUGAUUUACCACAUGCACUUUUUUGACCCUCAAAUAUCUGUUAAAAGUUUCCGCAGCUAACUUUCUGUAUUUGUUUAGCCUGUUUCCUCAGCUGGUGACAGCCGUGUUCUGGAAGUCACACAUAUCCAUAAACUUCUAUUAGCCCUGUGGGUAACUCUCCCAUGUUAUAUCUCCUUAACCUAGUUACACACUUAUAGUUUCCUUGCAUGUAGUCAGUAGUAGCAGCCUAACCAAUAUUCAUUGUUAUUUUGUUGAUAAAAAUCCUUUUGAGAAAUAAAGAAAGAGCUAUGAUGAGCUCUCAAGUAAAGCCAGGGCCAGAGAAGACAGAAGGCACCAGAGGCUGGAGUAGUCAGUGCUACAAACAAAGCAAAUGUUGAAUGCAAAAUGGUGAGAAGGAGCUUGUAGUUAAGAUCCAUCUGAAAGAGGGAGAUCUCUGAACCAGCCACCCCACUUGGGAUCUAUGGCAUCAUUCUAUAAGUCCUUCUCUUUUAUUUUUUCUCUCCCACUUGUUCCUUGUAUGCACAUGGACUGAGAGCCCGUGGCUGCUGGACAAUCUGCCAAAAGUGGCCACUGUGCACAUAGGAAUGUGGGCAGCAGCUCAUUGUAGUAGUUCUCAGCAUGGUCUCUGCAGAGAGAGCAUCAGACUCAAACCCAGCUCUGCCACUUCCUGUCCGUGUGUCCCUAGGAAAGUAACAUGUCCCCUCAGUGCUUCUGUUUCUUCAUCUAUAAGGCAAGGGCCAAAUGAGUUAAAACAGUACUUUGAAAGGUGCUUAGUUAGUAUUACCCGUUAUUGUUUUAGUUGUCUCUCUGAAGCUAAAAAGUCUUCCUUAGAUGGGAUUCCAGUAUGGCGAUAAAAUGACAUCAGUGAUGUACAGGUAACUCUAAACAGAAUUUGUCUUUUGUCUAAAACUCAGCUAUUCUUUAACAUCUGAAAAAAACAUUGUCUGUGUGGAUGAUAUGAUGCCUAAAAUUUGCAUUCUGAAAUAUUUUCAGCCUUAAUGUCUUACACUAACUCCUUGCUAGAACAGUUAUUAAAAACCUACUGAGUAGAGUACUGUGCCAGACCUUGAGGAUAUCAGUGAGGAAGGCUCACGUGGUUCUAGAGGGGGAGAAAACAGGCAAAUAAAAGCCAAAAUAACCAGCUGCGAGGGAAAUAAAUAUUGUGUUCAAGGGUUGUGAAUGAAGAAAUAGAGCACUGAACUAGAGGACUUCGAGUGGAAAAAUGCUUAUGACAGAGUGAUUGAAGCAGGCAGGGAAAACUCUUUAAGGGACAAUUAAGUUUAAAUUUAAGGAUGAAAAGGGACCAACUAGGUUGACUCUGGGAAGGAGAACCCUGCACAUAGCACUUUAAAAAGUCCUGGGGUGAAAAACUGUUGGUCCCAUUAAGAAGAUUCCAAAGUGGGGUUGAAGCUUGGUGAGCAGAAUAGAGAUAGGGAAGAGGAUGAGAGUGGGGAAGUCAUUCAGGAACAAAUCUUGCAGGGCAGACAUGCUUCAACUAUGUGGUUCAUCCCUUCAGCAGGAACAUCAUGGCACACAUGUGUAUGUUGGAUGAGGGAGGCGGGGGGCUAGGAGCAUAUAUGCCAUAGUUGUAUAGCAAAUAAUGCAGGGCAUUCAAAAUACUACCAUGAUUGGAGCAAUGACUUUAUAUAGAAUGUAUAUCUAAAGUAAACAUUAUGAAUGCAUAUUUAUAUGUCUAUAAAAGAAGAGUUGUCUGAAAAUUAAAAUCAUGUAAUGUGACUUAAUGUGCAUGCACUUUAGGGUUAUUAUUUCGUGUGUUAAUAAUAUUUACUUUCAUAUUUCAAGCUUUUAAAAAUCAUUUCCAGGUAAGGAAAGUGUUUAUCUCUCCAAACCCGUACAUUAAAAACCUUCCUUGUUUUCCUUAUGUAUGUGAAAAUCCACAUUAAUAAGCCUAUUGGUGAGAUUUUAAAAUGUAACAGGGGUAAUUAUUAUUGAAAUGAAUGUUGGGGAGACCUGGGUGAAAGUGGUCUAGGUGGAAGCACCUCACCUGUAUUCUGCUCAAGCAGGAUGAUGCUAUUGAAAUUUCAAGUCUCUCUGGGGCUUUUUUCCAAUCAGCCACCUUGCUUAGAAACUCAUAAUGUGAAUUUUUGAUGGUAAAAUUAGGAAAUAAAGUGUCCUUCUCUUUAAAAAAAAAUUUCAAUUCAAGAAGCAGUUUGGCUAGGUACUUCUAUAAACUAACUUUACAUUCCUCGUGAAUGACUAUAAUGUGGACAGGAAGUUUCACCUGGUUCCUCAUUAAUAUGAUUAUAUCCUGGGUUGGUGAUGAGGUGGGACAGGUUCUGAAUUUACCUAUUCUAAUUUAUUCCAAAAUGAGAACUGAGUCAAGAGUAUCCACAUGAGACCUUGCCAUGCCACCUAGGGAAGCGCAUAAUUAUCCUGAAAUGGCCCUUUCCCUUAGGAAUGGGACACAGAAUCCAAUGUGAGUCAAGUUAUUCAACCUGGAGUUGGCUUUUCCCCAGCCCCUCCCUCCUUUGUCCAGGGCUAAUGCAGACAAAUGCUCUCAUCCUCCCAUCCUGAGAUUGGCGGUUUGCCAGCUGCAGGGACAUUAGUUCCUCAUUAGCACCUUGUCAUCUGCCCACAAAUCUACAUCCCACCCAGAACAAAAUUAAAGUGGCCUGGCCCAUUUGAAGCUUUGGCCAUUGCAAGAAGGAAUGCCAUUCCAUGAGGUUCCUUAUGGUUUUAUGAGUUAGGUGUAAAAGAGAAAUUCAUAUAUUACUUAGAUUCAAGAGAUUUAAUGGACAUGUUGGACAGCAGAUUAUUUAAUCAUGUAAGACAUCAAGGUAUAUUUUUUAUAAAUUCAAAUUCCAACACCAACCUCUUGUUUCCGAAGAGAUAGUCUUUUCAUUUUUCUCCAGAAUGUUGUUGGUGAUGGUGAUGAUUUUUAUUUUAAUAAGAUAGCAUUGCAAAUUUGCAUUGUAACAAAAAGGAGAGGUAGAUGUUCUUAGAAGGAAUUCUAAGAUGUUAUGGGCACACAGAAGAGUUUAAAUUGUUCUAAAAUUAUUCUAUUGAACAAGUAAAGUCCAUCUGAUGAAGAAACAAUUCUUGUUAACCACCUCCCACCCCUGCCACCCGAUUUUUUUGUCCAUAGAUCCUAUUUCAGUCAAUUUGUGGUUACAAAGUGUAUACAUCUUUGAACAGCUGUGUCAGUAAAAACUUCACAGAUAAAUAUCCCCAAGUCUGUCUUUGUGGUCAUUUCAGCCAUCUGUACCAUAAGUUUUGGUUACCAAAAGCUGAUCCUUUGGAAUCAAUGCAUAG
rnacentral:lncRNA from 1 species